AAUUACUGGGCGUAAAGCGAGCGUAGGUGGCUUGAUAAGUCAGAUGUGAAAGCCCCGGGCUUAACCUGGGAACGGCAUCUGAUACUGUUAGGCUAGAGUAGGUGAGAGGAAGGUAGAAUUCCAGGUGUAGCGGUGAAAUGCGUAGAGAUCUGGAGGAAUACCGAUGGCGAAGGCAGCCUUCUGGCAUCAUACUGACACUGAGGUUCGAAAGCGUGGGUAGCAAACAGGAUUAGAUACCCUGGUAGUCCACGCCGUAAACGAUGUCUACUAGUCGUUGGGUCCCUUGAGGACUUAGUGACGCAGCUAACGCAAUAAGUAGACCGCCUGGGGAGUACGGCCGCAAGGUUAAAACUCAAAUGAAUUGACGGGGGCCCGCACAAGCGGUGGAGCAUGUGGUUUAAUUCGAUGCAACGCGAAGAACCUUACCUGGUCUUGACAUAUCUAGAAUCCUGCAGAGAUGCGGGAGUGCCUUCGGGAAUUAGAAUAUAGGUGCUGCAUGGCUGUCGUCAGCUCGUGUCGUGAGAUGUUGGGUUAAGUCCCGCAACGAGCGCAACCCUUGUCCUUAGUUACCAGCGGUUUGGCCGGGAACUCUAAGGAUACUGCCAGUGACAAACUGGAGGAAGGCGGGGACGACGUCAAGUCAUCAUGGCCCUUACGACCAGGGCUACACACGUGCUACAAUGGUAGGUACAGAGGGCAGCUACACAGCGAUGUGAUGCGAAUCUCAAAAAGCCUAUCGUAGUCCAGAUUGGAGUCUGCAACUCGACUCCAUGAAGUAGGAAUCGCUAGU
rnacentral:rRNA from 1 species